UUUAUGCUGGUAGCCUCGAUGCUUGUUUUAGCUUGGUUCUGGAGCACCGUAAAAGUACUUCGUCCGUAAGGAAAUAUAAGAGCGUUUAGAGCAACUCUACCAGGGCGAUCCAAACGGAUACGCGCUUUGUCCGCUUGGACCGGCCAGGCGGAUGUGCACAUCCGUAUUUUAAAAUGGGUCGGCUUGACCGUCCAACGAAAAGACCGAUCCAAAUGUGCUGGCGUGGAAAAUAAACAAAAAGGUUGCACGAAAUAAACAUAAUUAAACAUAAGUGGCCGGUCAAACUCCGGCCAAAGUCUACUUAGAUCUAAUUAAACAUUAAAUAAAACAUUAAAAAAGUCUGCGCCCGCCUGCUGCCGCCCCGCACGCUGCCCUAGACGUUGUCGGCCUUGCCCUUGCCCUUGUCGUCGACGCCGUCGUCGUCGGUGAGGUCGAUGAAAACCUGAGCAGGGCCAGUCCACCCGAACGCCGCCUGGUACGCUGUCAGGGCGGCGGCAUUGCGGCCAGCCGCGCGCGCCCCUCCUCCUCCUCCUCGAGCCGGAGCGCCUCCGCGUCACGUUGGAGCAUGACCUCGUAGCGCAUCUGGGGGAUCAAAUUCAACAAUUUUUGUCAACUAGCAUUUGAACUUGUAAAGCUACUGGUAACAAAGUAUAUUAUAAUAAAAAUGCUGCGAGGACCAUAUCAUUGUCUAAAAUCACAGUUUUUUGUGAACUGGCAUGAGUGUACAUACAAGACUUGUCCAUUUCUCCUAUAAAACUGAGGUGGAACUUGUACUACCAGUUUGAUCUUUUACUGAUAACUUUAUACUUCUACAGAAUUUACCUAGAUUUCAACCAGAGAGUCUCGAGAAGAAUGCCCAGAUAUUUGAGCGUGUUGAUGCGAUGGCCACAAGGAAAGGAUGCACACCAUCACAACUUGCCUUGGCUUGGGUUCACCAUCAGGGAAGCGAUGUUUGCCCCAUCCCUGGGACAACAAAAAUUGAAAAUUUCAACCAAAAUGUGGGAGCAUUAGCUGUGAAGCUCACACCAGAGGAAAUGGCUGAACUCGAGUCUUACGCGGCUGCAGGUGAUGUUCAGGGUGACAGGUACCCUCCAAUGGCUAGUACUUGGAAGGAGUCUGAGACCCCUCCAUUGUCAUCUUGGAAAGCUGAGUAGACAGUUUCAUCUCUUCAACAACUACACUGUUUACUUUUGAUGAGAAGGUAAAAGCAGGAUAGAGUUGAACCCAGGAUUUCGUUUUCCAUUUCUGCAGAUGCAUGUAUAUGAACUGAGCUGCGAUGUGUGUAUGUUAUGCUUGGUUACCGAUUUGCUCCUGCUUAAUAAAUGUCAUUGCUAUCAAGGCUUCUGUAUUGUAUUGACCAACAAAAUACAAGUGAUGUGUGAUAUUAAUAUGUCGGCAGAAUGAAUAAUCCUGUUUAAAUUAUGUAAUGAAACCGUUGGUAGAGUAUGUGCAGUGGUGCAGAGACCAACAGUGGUUACCAUA